rnacentral:rRNA from 1 species
UACGUAGGGUGCAAGCGUUGUCCGGAAUUAUUGGGCGUAAAGAGCGUGUAGGCGGCCCGAUUAGUCCGCUGUGAAAGUCCAGGGCUCAACCCUGGAAUGCCGGUGGAUACUGUCGGGCUAGAGUCCGGAAGGGGCGAGUGGAAUUCCUGGUGUAGCGGUGAAAUGCGCAGAUAUCAGGAGGAACACCGGUGGCGAAGGCGGGUCUCUGGGCCGUAACUGACGCUGAGGAGCGAAAGCGUGGGGAGCGAACAGG